AGCGAGGAGAGCAUAUUUCUUUGAAGGACUGUUAAGCCUUGUAAAUACCUAUAAAUUUAUGUAUAACUAUAAGCCAACAGAUACUGUGAUAGCAUGGAACUUUACUUAUUUUCUGAUGUGACUAUUCUCAUUCGUAGAUCUUCUACAGUAAAGCUCACAGGCUAAUUUAGAAUUGUUGUAACUUGGCAUAAUACAGUGCUUUGUCAUUUUUGCUUUCCCCACUGUUACAGGCAAAAGAGAACCAGUGAAGAUACAAGUUCAGGUUCACCACCUAAGAAGUCUCCAGGAGGACCAAAAAGAGAUGCCAGACAGAUUUAUAAUCCUCCGAGUGGAAAGUACAGCAGCAAUCUGAGCAACUUUAAUUAUGGUGAGCGUUUUCGUUUGGGUACAAGCAGUUCAAGAGAUUAGUUAGAAAGUGGUACGUGCUUUUAAUUGUGAAUUAUAUAUAUAGUAUCAUAGUUCUCUUAGGUGGUUUAUCUGAGUUAGCCUGCAAAAACGGCCAUUGGGGAAAUAAUUAUAUCCCAUUUCUCUAUAACUCUUGUGCACUUACUGAGUGAAGUAUGUGAUACCUAAGCACUUGAAAAAGAAAAUAUGCCAGCUAUUUUAAGAGAAACCCACAGAAACUGGAAGUUGUCGUGAACUUGUGUUGUGUACACUCCAUGAAAAGAAAAAAAUAACUCUGUCAGGUGUGGUGGGGAGAGUCCACUCAGGUCUAGCGGAAAGAGAGGUCAUAGAAAUGGAGGCAGAUGACUGAGCAUCGUGCGCCCGGGAAGAUAUUAUAGUCUACCUUUGCCCAAAUGCAGUCUUCUGUCAUCGCUUCUAGUCCUCCUUGUCUAGGAGAACUUUCUUCCCACCUGGCCAUUCUCUGUGAAGGCUCUCGGGUCAGUAAUGAAGUCUGUUUUUUACUAGCUUUUCCCCACACGAAUCAUUUUUAAAGGAAUGUGGGGCAUAAUGGCACAUGCCUAUAAUCCCAGCACUCAAGAGGAUAAGGCCUCAGAGGAUCAUAAGCUCGAGGCAAGCCUGAGCUAAGUAACAAGACCAAAAGGCUCAACAGGGCAGAGACAGUCCACCUAACCAACCCCUCCUCUUGCGUAGGAAAAGCUUACUACCGGCAACCACAACUCCAGAGAGGCAGAGGCAGGAGGAGUUCAAGGCCAUCUUCAUUCAUGUAGCUGCAUUGAGUGAAGCUCAAAAAUAAAUGCUCAAAAUAGAGAUGACAGGCUAUAAUAAUACCUUUGUAGUGUUUUACAACUCAUAGGUCAGCCUAGGCUACUUGAGACCCUGUCUCAAUGAUACCAGUAUUAGCAACAAUCAUAACAGCAAUCAAACAAGAAUGCUGUUUAUCUUGAUUGCUAAUUGCAGUCAAUUCUACAAUUCUGUUUGCUAAGUACAUUCUGAGCCACAUUUAACUUUAUACUCCAGAUUUCUGUUUCUAAGGUGAGAUAAUUGUAGCGGGAAGUAAAAUCCUCUUGUGAUGGCUGAAUUCCUCUGACCUUUGACAGUGGUCAAAUCCCUUUUGACCAGACAGGUUGGAAAAAGCCAGUUUUAGACUGAGAAAUGAACCCUCCCAUAUAAAUGAGCUCUUACAGCCUUCUUUAAGGAGUGCACCGAAUCUUGGUACUCAUAUAACUGCAUAUACAUGUGCAUAUGCACAUUUGCUUAUGUGAAAAAUAGGGAUAGCAGAGUUCUUAGGAACUUAGGUAAGAAUGGUUUUGAGAGGAUUUGGUAAUGAAAAGCAGUCUUUGUUGUUUUAUUACAUCAAAUACUAUCUUCUGAUAUUUUUUGACUUAAUGUGAUAUCUGUAAAAUCUGAAAAUCAGCAGUUAGAUGCUAUGAGGAAAUAGCAUGAACGAAAGUAAUCAUGAUAUUUUGCACAGCACAUAAAGAAAUGUAUUUCUCUGUAACUUGAAUAGUUACAUGGUGAGUAUGAGUUUCGAAACAUAAAGAUUUUGUCUCACAGAACCCACAGCUUGAUAUAAGGUGGAGAACAAAUGCAGAAAAUGUAACACAUAGUUUGUAUGCCAGUAAACUAGGAUGUAAAUAUAUUUUAAUUUUAAAAGCUGC
rnacentral:lncRNA from 1 species